UCAAUGCAGAGUACAUGGGAGGUGAUCAAAUUCAAAUUGAUCUAAGCCUAAUCUGUGGAAGAAUCCAGAACAGUUCUCAUGAUGUUCUUCAAAAGCAAAACAAAGCUCUUGCCACUACUUCAGCUCACAACCAUGCUUCAACGUGGCUUCCUAGAGCUGGGGCCACUGUGAUGUGUUACCUGAAUUAUUCCAGUGAUAAAAACACCACCA